UACGUAGGGUGCAAGCGUUAAUCGGAAUUACUGGGCGUAAAGCGUGCGCAGGCGGUUUGCUAAGACAGGUGUGAAAUCCCCGGGCUUAACCUGGGAACUGCGCUUGUAACUGGCAAGCUGGAGUGUGGCAGAGGGGGGUGGAAUUGCCGGUGUAGUGGUGAAAUGCGUAGAGAUCGGCAGGAACACCCAGGGGGAAACCAGCCGACUGGGCAUCGACUGACGCUGAUGUGCGAGAGCGUGGGGAGCGAACCGG
rnacentral:rRNA from 1 species